rnacentral:rRNA from 1 species
GAAACUUACAACAAAGAGUCCCUCCCGACUGUUUACCAAAAACACAGCACUCUGCUAACUCGUAAGAGGAUGUAUAGGGUGUGACGCCUGCCCGGUGCUCGAAGGUUAAUUGAUGGGGUUAGCAUUAGCGAAGCUCUUGAUCGAAGCCCGAGUAAACGGCGGCCGUAACUAUAACGGUCCUAAGGUAGCGAAAUUCCUUGUCGGUUAAAUACCGACCUGCAUGAAUGGCGUAACGAGAUGGGAGCUGUCUCAAAGAGGGAUCCAGUGAAAUUGUAGUGGAGGUGAAAAUUCCUCCUACCCGCGGCAAGACGGAAAGACCCCGUGGACCUUUACUACAGCUUGACACUGCUAUUUGGAUAAGAAUGUGCAGGAUAGGUGGGAGGCUUUGAGUAUAUGACGCCAGUUGUAUAUGAGCCAUUGUUGAGAUACCACUCUUUCUUAUUUGGGUAGCUAACCAGCUUGAGUUAUCCUCAAGUGGGACAAUGUCUGGUGGGUAGUUUGACUGGGGCGGUCGCCUCCCAAAUAAUAACGGAGGCUUACAAAGGUUGGCUCAGAACGGUUGGAAAUCGUUCGUAGAGUAUAAAGGUAUAAGCCAGCUUAACUGCAAGACAUACAAGUCAAGCAGAGACGAAAGUCGGUCUUAGUGAUCCGGUGGUUCUGUGUGGAAGGGCCAUCGCUCAAAGGAUAAAAGGUACCCCGGGGAUAACAGGCUGAUCUCCCCCAAGAGCUCACAUCGACGGGGAGGUUUGGCACCUCGAUGUCGGCUCAUCGCAUCCUGGGGCUGGAGCAGGUCCCAAGGGUAUGGCUGUUCGCCAUUUAAAGCGGUACGCGAGCUGGGUUCAGAACGUCGUGAGACAGUUCGGUCCCUAUCUGCCGUGGGCGUAAGAAGAUUGAAGAGAUUUGACCCUAGUACGAGAGGACCGGGUUGAACAAACCACUGGUGUAGCUGUUGUUCUGCCAAGAGCAUCGCAGCGUAGCUAAGUUUGGAAAGGAUAAACGCUGAAAGCAUCUAAGCGUGAAGCCAACUCUAAGAUGAAUCUUCUCUAAGCUCUCUAGAAGACUACUAGUUUGAUAGGCUGGGUGUGUAAUGGAUGAAAGUCCUUUAGCUGACCAGUACUAAUAGAGCGUUUGGCUUAUCUUU